rnacentral:rRNA from 1 species
CCCUUAGAUGUCCUGGGCCGCACGCGCGCUACACUGACAUGUUCAACAAGCCUCCUAGUUCGACAGGAUUUGGGAAAUCUUUGAACGCAUGUCGUGAUAGGGAUAGAUCAUUGCAAUUAUUGAUCUUGAACGAGGAAUUCCUAGUAAACGCGAGUCAUCAGCUCGCAUUGAUUACGUCCCUGCCCUUUGUACACACCGCCCGUCGCACCUACCGAUUGAAUGUUUCGGUGAAGAUUCCGGAUAGGACUUUUUUGAUUUAUUUCAAUUCUGUCUUAAAAGCUAUCUAAACCUCAACAUUUAGAGGAAGGUGAAGUCGCAACA